GCGGCUGUAGCUCAGUUGGUAGAGCCCUGGAUUGUGAUUCCGGUUGUCGUGGGUUCAAGUCCCAUCAGUCGCC
rfam:Pseudoalteromonas piscicida strain S2040 contig0018, whole genome shotgun sequence.